GUUGGGGAUAUCGAGGCGUACAUAAGGCAAUAAUUUGUGGAAGGGUUGGGCAAGCCCCUGUGCAGAAGAUCUUGAGAAAUGGGCGCACGAUAACAAUCUUGACAGUUGGAACAGGAGGGAUGUUUGACCAACGAAUUGUUGAAGCAAAAGAUCUGCCAAAGCCUGCUCAGUGGCAUCGUAUUGCUGUGCAUAAUGAAUCACUUGGUGCUCUUGCAGUUCAACAACUUGUUAAAAAUGCAUCAGUUUAUAUUGAGGGU
rnacentral:misc_RNA from 1 species